CGCCGCGUGGGCGAUGAAGGCCUUCGGGUCGUAAAGCCCUUUUGCAGGGGAAGAUGAUGACGGUACCCUGCGAAUAAGCCACGGCUAACUACGUGC
rnacentral:rRNA from 1 species